GUGGGGAAUAUUGGACAAUGGGCGAAAGCCUGAUCCAGCCAUGCCGCGUGUGUGAAGAAGGUCUUCGGAUUGUAAAGCACUUUAAGUUGGGAGGAAGGGCAGUAAGUUAAUACCUUGCUGUUUUGACGUUACCGACAGAAUAAGCACCGGCUAACUCUGUGCCAGCAGCCGCGGUAAUACAGAGGGUGCAAGCGUUAAUCGGAAUUACUGGGCGUAAAGCGCGCGUAGGUGGUUCGUUAAGUUGGAUGUGAAAGCCCCGGGCUCAACCUGGGAACUGCAUCCAAAACUGGCGAGCUAGAGUACGGUAGAGGGUGGUGGAAUUUCCUGUGUAGCGGUGAAAUGCGUAGAUAUAGGAAGGAACACCAGUGGCGAAGGCGUCCACCUGGACUGAUACUGACACUGAGGUGCGAAAGCGUGGGGAGCAAACAGGAUUAGAAACCCCUGUAGUCC
rnacentral:rRNA from 1 species